GGAGAGGUGGCUCAGUGGUUAAGAGCACUGACUUCUCUGCCAGGGGUCCUGAGUUCAAUUCCCAGCAACUACA
rnacentral:tRNA from 1 species